rnacentral:lncRNA from 1 species
GUGAGGAGAUUCUGGAGCCUUCAGGUUGUCCCCCGUGCGCAAGCAGCAGGACGAGGCCCAGGACUUUUCGGGCCUGCACGUUUGCUGAGAGUGGUGUUCUUGUGGCGGGGGCGGAAGGUGGACGUCUUAGGAAGCCUUGCGACCCAGUCGGGACCCCCACAGGGACUCCGCAGUGCCUGGGGAUUGCCUGGACCUCGCCCGGGAAAGGAUGCAGUUUUACAAAACCAGAGGUAGCCGUCAAGUUGGAGCAAUGAAAAGGUCCAUUGUUGUUAGAGGAAGAAUUUCCAAGCAGGAGACAUGCAGGCUGUCGGGGAGCUGCCCAAAGGCCACCUACAAGGGAUCCUAGGAAGGCUGGCCGUGUACGUCCUGGGUAAUCAACAGUUACGCAGACAAGCACAUUACACUCCAUGGGAGCUGUCCUUUCAAGAACUUGGUUUUGAACUGUAGAGGCUCCCACUGUGUCUUCUGAAGGUCAUGGUAAGAAAAAAUCCUGUCUACUGAGAAUGUGAGAGAGAGAUUUUGAUGGACAGUAAAUACAUCAUUUUAGAAGUGUGCUUUGGUAUCAAUUGAUCAGCUUUUGCCUCACCUAUUUUGAUAAGGAUUCUCAUAAUGAUAAAUAUAUCAAUUCUCCAAAAGACAGCAAUUUUAAAUGUGUAUGCGCCUAACAAAAAGGAUUUCAAAAUGCAGAUCCUGCUACCCACCUCCCCCAACAACAACUUGGCAUUCAUCCACAGACAUGGUGACUUUCUGGGAGAUGAGAGAUUUCAGCAUCAGGUACUAAGGGUCCUUGGAGGAGUCUUGCCCAUCCAUGUGGCGGGAAUUGGUCCUGCCUGUGGACACUGUAGUAGCCCAUGAAUCUGCUCCAGCUCUGCUCAGCUGGGCUCCAGAAGUCCCUAAAGAACACUGAUUCUGACAAUCACUCAUGGGGCCACACAGAUCUGAGUCAAGUCUGAGACUUACACCACAGCUCACAGCAACACGGGAUCCCUAACCCACUGAGCGAGGCCAGGGAUCGAACUUGCGUCCUCAUGCAUAUAAGUCAGAUUCAUGUCCACUUAGCCACGACAGGAACUCCCUAAAUAUAUUUGUUAAUAAACCAAUGGUUCUCCAGACUUUUCAGCGUACUGAGUGCUAAAGCAAACAAGAGAUUCUUCUCAAAAUAUGUCGGUGGCUUGAGAGAUGUCAUUACCAAGUGGUGAUCUAUACAGAAGGUGAACUCUUCCUUUGGCUGUACUGUCAGGAAUAUUCAUGUUCAAGAACACAUGUUUGGCAUCUCCUGUUGAUUUUGAUGCAGUGUCUUCCCCCUUUUGGAUGUUGUCUCUCGGGCAUUAUGGUCCCCAGUGUGGACAACGAGGGUACUUGAGCCGUGUGGAGGGUCCUUCAUUGGAACGCGUAGCAUCAGUGGAGAUCAUGGUGGCUCCUGAUUUCCACUUCAUUUUCAAGGGCACUUGUGAUGAAGAUGUGGGGCUCCUCUUGACUGAGAAGAUCAGGCUUAGGCACGCGAGGAAUCCACUUCCAAUACGCUUCUGUGAGAUAAUAGACUAUACGUUGGUCUCUGCCACCACUGCCUGGCACAGAGCUCCUGAAACCCGUGUCAUUUCCUAGGUGAUAGGUGUGUCUUUUUAUUCUCAUGGGGUAACUCUGGGUGGGCUUCUGCAUGGCUUCGGGAUGAGGGCUGGUCAGCAGAAGAUCAAACCAUGAUGGAGGCUUGGAAGUUUCAGCCCCCGCCCCAUUCUCUUAAGAAGGGAGAAGGACUGAAAAUGGAGAUGAUGGUUGACCAUGCUCAAAUGAGGAAGUCUCCCCCCCUGAAAAAAUCCCCAACUACAGAAUUCAGAGAGCUUCCAGGAGGAUGAAUACAUCCACAUAAUGGGAGAGUGAUGCACCCCAACUCCAUGGGGAUAGGAACUCCUGAGUUUGAGCCCCUUUCAGACAUCACACUGUGUAUCUCUUCAUCUGGCUGUUCAUUUGUAUCUUUUGUCAUAUCCUUUAAUAAACUGGUAAAUAGAA